rnacentral:rRNA from 1 species
UACAGAGGUGCCAAGCGUUAGGCGGAAUCACUGGGCUUAAAGCGCGUGUAGGCGGGUCGUUAAGUGUCCGAGUGAAAUCCCACGGCUCAACCGUGGAACUGCCGGGCAUACUGGCGAUCUUGAGGCAUUCAGGGGCGAGCGGAACAAAUGGUGGAGCGGUGAAAUGCGUAGAUAUCAUUUGGAACGCCAAUGGUGAAAACAGCUCGCUGGGAAUGAUCUGACGCUGAGGUGCGAAAGCGUGGGGAGCAAACAGG